GGGAGGUAGCUCAGUGGUAGAGUGUCUGUCUGGCAUGCACAAGGCCUUGGGUUCAAUCCUCAGCAACACACA
rnacentral:tRNA from 1 species